rnacentral:rRNA from 1 species
AUUGAACGCUGGCGGCAUGCUUUACACAUGCAAGUCGAGCGGCAGCGCGGGGGCAACCCUGGCUGCGAGCGGCGAACGGGUGAGUAAUGCAUCGGAACGUAUCCUCGAGUGGGGGAUAACCCAGCGAAAGUUGGGCUAAUACCGCAUGAGCUCUGAGGAGGAAAGCGGGGGACCUGCGAGGGCCUCGCGCUGGAGGAGCGGCCGAUGUCCGAUUAGCUAGUUGGUGGGGUAAAGGCUUACCAAGGCGACGAUCGGUAGCUGGUCUGAGAGGAUGAUCAGCCACACUGGAACUGAGACACGGCCCAGACUCCUACGGGAGGCAGCAGUGGGGAAUUUUGGACAAUGGGGGCAACCCUGAUCCAGCCAUGCCGCGUGAGUGAAGAAGGCCUUCGGGUUGUAAAGCUCUUUCGGACGGAACGAAAUGGGCGGGACUAAUACUCCGGUCUGAUGACGGUACCGUAAGAAGAAGCACCGGCUAACUACGUG